CGUUGAUGUUGUUGAAGCCAGUGGUCACUUCUCUGUCAAUGCACCAGAUCCAUCAGCAGCAUUUGAAUGGUUGGCUGUGUCUCUUCAUUGAAAUAAUCUCUUGGUUUCAGAGAAAACAACCUCCUUACUUUUCUUGUCUCUCUUUGCCCAUCUCAAGCUCCUCUGUUGGUUUCCAUCAACCUCUAUAUGUUCUUGUGUGUAUCUGGCUUGGUCACGGGCCUUCUAUUAUUUUCUAGACAGUCUUGAACUAGAUGAGCUCAUGGAGCCUUUGAAAAGCAUUCACCUGCUCAGGCCUCCUGCACUUGCAUCUUCAGCUCUGACCUUUCCACUGAGCUACAGGCUCACACCUACUUGUCGUCUCCAUCUGGAUAUCUACCAGCUGGAAGCUCUGUGACAGCAGAGACCUUCUCUAUCAUGUUCCCUGCAGUAUUUCCUGCUUUGAGAGCAGUUCCUGGCACAUUAGCUGGGGCUCAAUAGAGUGCUGUUGAAAAAAUGAGCAAACCGAGACCAGGUAGUGGGGACAGCCCCAGGGGCUCCCCAUCUAGAGAAGCGAUGGAGACAAACUGGCAUCUAUAACAUGCAGCUCCAUGGAUACUUUGCUACACGGCAGACGGGGGUUGCAGGAGCCUUGAAGAUGUGACUCUACCCCGCAUGCAUGGGAGCCGGUGCAGGGGAAAGUUCCUGGAGAAGUUGUGUCCAAGUUGAGACCUAAAGGAUGAGGAGAGCCCUGAGUCACCAUGAAAGAUUUCUGGCCACCCUGCUGAAGAGGCCACAUGGGGAGGCCACAUGGAGAGGAGGAGAGGUCCACUGAUCCAGCAUUUUAGUUGAGCUUCCAGCUGACUCCAGCCUCAAGCUUUAUCUGAAUGCACCUGCAUGAGAGACUUCUAAGCAAGACCAGCAGAAGAUCCACCCGCUGAUCCCAGACAACCCAUGGAACCAUGAGAGA
rnacentral:lncRNA from 1 species